rnacentral:rRNA from 1 species
AACGAACGCUGGCGGCAUGCCUAACACAUGCCAGUCGAACGAGACCUUCGGGUCUAGUGGCGCACGGGUGCGUCACGCGAGGGGACCUUCCCUUAGGUUCGGCAUACCUCCCCGAAAGGGGUGCUAAUACCGGAUAAUGGCUUCUGACCAAAGAUUUAUCGCCCUUGGAUGUGCCCGCGUUGAAUUAGCUAGUUGGUAGGGUAAAAGCCUACCAAGGCGACGAUCCAUAGCUGGUCUGAGAGGAUGAUCAGCCACACUGGGACUGAGACACGGCCCAGACUCCUACGGGAGGCAGCAGUGGGGAAUAGUGGACAAUGGGCGAAAGGAUGAACCAGCACGGACGCGUGAGUGAUGAAGGCAUUAGGGUUGUAAAGCUCUUUUACCCGGGAUGAUAAUGACAGUACCGGGAGAAUAAGCCCCGGCUAACUCCGUG